rnacentral:rRNA from 1 species
GACGAACCGGCCGAACGUUAUUCGGAAUCAUUGGGCUUAAAGGGUGCGUAGGCGGUGCGGUAAGUUGGGUGUGAAAUCCCUCGGCUCAACCGAGGAACUGCGCUCAAUCCUGCCGUGCUUGAGGAAGACAGAGGCGAGCGGAACUGAUGGUGGAGCGGUGAAAUGCGUUGAUAUCAUCAGGAACACCAGUGGCGAAAGCGGCUCGCUGGGUCUUUUCUGACGCUGAGGCACGAAAGCUAGGGUAGCGAACAGG